GAUGAACGCUAGCGGCAGGCCUAAUACAUGCAAGCCGAACGGCAAGUCUGAUAGCAAUAUUAGACCUAGAGUGGCGUAAGGGUGCGUAACACGUAUGCAAUCUACCCGCAACAGGAGGAUAGCUCGGGGAAACUCGAAUUAACCCUCCAUAAGAUCUUAGACCGGCAUCGGUUAGAGAUUAAAUCUGAGGAGGUUGCGGAUGAGCAUGCGUCUGAUUAGCUAGUUGGCGGGGUAAUGGCCCACAAGGCGAUGAUCAGUAGGGGAACUGAGAGGUUGAUCCCCCAACUGGCACUGAGAUACGGGCCAGACUCCUACGGGAGCAGCAGUAGGA
rnacentral:rRNA from 1 species